rnacentral:rRNA from 1 species
GCCAACGUUCAUAUCACGUUGAAUACACCAGUUCUCGUCCGAUCACUGAAGUUAAGCAACGUUGAGCGUGGUUGAAGUAUCGCAGCACAAUCUCUUAGAAAUUACGACAGUUGAAC